rnacentral:rRNA from 1 species
CCUACGGGAGGCAGCAGUGAGGAAUAUUGGUCAAUGGACGAGAGUCUGAACCAGCCAAGUAGCGUGAAGGAUGACUGCCCUAUGGGUUGUAAACUUCUUUUAUAAAGGAAUAAAACGAGGCACGUGUGCCUUUUUGCAUGUACUUUAUGAAUAAGGAUCGGCUAACUCCGUGCCAGCAGCCGCGGUAAUACGGAGGAUCCGAGCGUUAUCCGGAUUUAUUGGGUUUAAAGGGAGCGUAGAUGGGUUGUUAAGUCAGUCGUUAAAGUUUGCGGCUCAACCGUAAAAUUGCAAUUGAUACUGGCAGUCUUGAGUACAGUUGAGGUAGGCGGAAUUCGUGGUGUAGCGGUGAAAUGCUUAGAUAUCACGAAGAACCCCGAUUGCGAAGGCAGCUUACUAAACUGUGACUGACAUUGAUGCUCGAAAGUGUGGGUAUCAAACAGGAUUAGAUACCCUGGUAGUC